rnacentral:lncRNA from 1 species
CUGGGUAGCCACAGAAGCCAUCUUUACACUUGCUUCAACAGCAAUUACCCUUGAAGCCCCAGCUUGAGCUGCAAAAAGGCUACAAUAAGACAUUAAGUAAAUAAGAUGUAUACUUGUUCUACAAGACAAAUAGCUAUUUCGGUGAUAGGGAAAAAUGUUUACUUCCUGAGUAAACAUCCCUUAUUCGGUAGCAAAAUUAUGUUGAUUCAAUAUACAAAUUCAGUUUAUGCCAAGAUUAAUGGGUCCAGGAUAAAUCAAGUGUAGGAGUAAAUUGCAUAAUCUAACCAUGCAAAGUACAAGGACCACGAUAUACGUUAAGGAAAUAAAGCAUCAAUAUUGGUCAAGAUUCUACAAAGCCAAAAAUAAAGACUUGAGAAUUGUUGACUAUGUCAAUGUUUCCUUCUAGGUUCAACAAUCAAUGCAUUCACCAAUCAACUUGAAUCAUUUUGCUAUCAGGUUAAAACAAUGAAUUUUAUUGCAUCUUAGUUUUACUCUACUAGUAGUUUCUACCCUCGGAGUAGAUAUAACUUAGCUUUUAUCAUUGCAGCCGAGCGCUACACUCCUCUAAUGUUGCCCAGUGCACCCCUUAUCUGUCUCCCUAGAACAGUAACGUAGAGGUGGCAAAGUUUUUGAAGAUCAAAGCACCCAAAACCAUGCUACUCUCUAUCCUCUUUUCAAGCACAUCAUCACUUUUCCGGCUGAUCCGAUGUUGGUGACAUGUCCACACGCAUACACCCUCGUCAUUUGGCUUGUUAUCAUUCUUUUCUAAAUGACUUAUUAUCACUCUUUUCUACCACAUCUGGACGGGACUUCACCAUCAGAUUCCAUGACAUGCCCAGAUAGGAUAGAAAAAGCACCAACAAGUUUUGUUGCACACCAGGUGAAACCCUUGUAGUCCGUUACACUGAUCCUAGUGGGAUACCAUGCAAUCAUUGUCACAUUGAUCUCAGUGAGACAUUAUGUAGUCAUCGUCACAUCAGUUUCAAUAGGGCAACAACAUAAUUACCAUCAUACCACUAUGGAAGGAAGUCGGCAAAGUAGCUAUAAGGAAAGCGUCUGCUAUACUAAGGCCAAUUUUGGACCGAUAUGCAGCAUAUUUGGCCUC